rnacentral:rRNA from 1 species
CCUACGGGGGGCUGCAGUAGGGAAUAUUGCUCAAUGGGGGAAACCCUGAAGCAGCAACGCCGCGUGGAGGAUGAAGGUUUUCGGAUUAUAAACCCCUUUUGUUAGAGAAGAUAAUGACGGUAUCUAACGAAUAAGCACCGGCGAACGCCGGGCCAGCAGCCGCGGUAAUACGGAGGGUGCAAGCGUUACUCGGAAUAAAUGGGCGUAAAGAGGGGGGAGGAGGGAGAGCAAGGCAGAUGUGAAAUCGUAUGGCUUAACCAUAGAACUGCAUUUGAAACUGUUAGUCUUGAGUGUGGGAGAGGUAGGUGGAAUGCGUGGUGUAGGGGUAAAAUGCGUAGAUAUCAAGAGGAAUACUCAUUGCGAAGGCGGCCUACUAGAACAUAACUGACGCUGAUGCGCGAAAGCGUGGGGAGCAAACAGGAUUAGAUACCCCUGUAGUC